UACGAAGGGUGCAAGCGUUACUCGGAAUUACUGGGCGUAAAGCGUGCGUAGGUGGUGAGUUAAGUCUGUCGUGAAAGCCCCGGGCUCAACCUGGGAAUGGCGAUGGAUACUGGCUCGCUAGAGUGCGGUAGAGGAGAGUGGAAUUCCCGGUGUAGCAGUGAAAUGCGUAGAUAUCUGGAGGAACACCGGUGGCGAAGGCGACGUCCUGGACCGGCAUUGACGCUGAGGCGCGAAAGCCAGGGGAGCAAACGGG
rnacentral:rRNA from 1 species